rnacentral:rRNA from 1 species
GACGAACGCUGGCGGCGUGCUUAACACAUGCAAGUCGAACGAAGUGGCGAACGGGUGAGUAACGCGUAAUCAACCUGCCCUUCAGAGGGGGACAACAGUUGGAAACGAAUGCUAAUACCGCAUACUGAAGGAGGGGAUUGCGUCUGAUUAGCUAGUUGGGGGGGUAACGGCCCACCAAGGCGAUGAUCAGUAGCCGGUCUGAGAGGAUGAACGGCCAAAGUGGGACCGAGACACGGCCCAGACUCCGACGGGAGGCAGCAGUGGGGAAACGUCCGCCAUGGACGAAAGUCUGACGGCGCAACGCCGCGUGAGUGAUGACGGCCUUCGGGUUGUAAAGCUCUGUUAAUCGGGACGCGGUACCGGAAUAGAAAGCCACGGCUAACUACGUGCCAGCAGCCGCGGUAAUAC